GGAGCCAUAGGGAGGGACCCAACUCAGCCUUAGGAAGAGAAACCUUCCAUGGGAGUCUUGGAGCUUGGCGACUGUCCUAAUGACUUA
rnacentral:pre_miRNA from 1 species